rnacentral:rRNA from 1 species
CCCUCGGCAUCCCUAGUACGGCGAGUGAGCGGGAAGAGCUCAAAUUUGAAAUCUGGUGGCCUCAGGUCAUCCGAGUUGUAAUCUAUAGAAGUGUUUUCCGUGCUGGCUCAUGUACAAGUCCCUUGGAACAGGGCGUCAUAGAGGGUGAGAAUCCCGUCCUUGACAUGAACUACCAGUGCUCUGUGAUACAUUUUCAACGAGUCGAGUUGUUUGGGAAUGCAGCUCAAAAUGGGUGGUAAAUUCCAUCUAAAGCUAAAUAUUGGCGAGAGACCGAUAGCGAACAAGUACCGUGAGGGAAAGAUGAAAAGCACUUUGGAAAGAGAGUUAAACAGUAUGUGAAAUUGUUGAAAGGGAAACGAUUGAAGUCAGUCGUGCUCUUUGGAUUCAGCCGGUUCUGCCGGUGUACUUCCUUUGAGUGGGGUCAACAUCAGUUUUGAUCGCUGGAUAAAGGCAGGAGGAACGUAGUACCCUCGGGUAAACUUAUAGCCUCUUGUCACAUACAGUGGUUGGGACUGAGGAACGCAGCACGCCUUUAUGGCCGGGAUUCGUCCACGUACGUGCUUAGGAUUGACUAGCCU